rnacentral:rRNA from 1 species
UUUAUGGAGAGUUUGAUCCUGGCUCAGGAUGAACGCUGGCGGCGUGCCUAAUACAUGCAAGUCGAGCGAACAGAUAAGGAGCUUGCUCCUUUGA